CAGUCGCCGCGGUAAUACGUAGGGUGCAAGCGUUAAUCGGAAUUACUGGGCGUAAAGCGUGCGCAGGCGGUUUGUUAAGACAGAUGUGAAAUCCCCGGGCUCAACCUGGGAACUGCAUUUGUGACUGGCAAGCUAGAGUGUGGCAGAGGGGGGUGGAAUUCCGCGUGUAGCAGUGAAAUGCGUAGAUAUACGGAGGAACACCGAUGGCGAAGGCAGCCCCCUGGGCCAACACUGACGCUCAUGCACGAAAGUGUGGGGAGCAAACAGGAUUAGAUACCCCGGUAGUCCCUGUCUCUUAUAC
rnacentral:rRNA from 1 species